ACGGAGGGGGCGAGCGUUGUCCGAAGUUACUGGGCGUAAAGGGCGCGUAGGCGGCGUGGCAAGUCACUUGUGAAAUCUCCGGGCUUAACUCGGAACGGCCAAGUGAAACUGCCAUGCUAGAGUGCAGAAGGGGCAAUCGGAAUUCUUGGUGUAGCGGUGAUAUGCGUAGAUAUCAAGAGGAACACCUGAGGUGAAGACGGGUUGCUGGGCUGACACUGACGCUGAGGCGCGAAAGCCAGGGGAGCAAACGGGA
rnacentral:rRNA from 1 species